GACGAACGCUGGCGGCGUGCUUAACACAUGCAAGUCGAACGGAAAGGCCCUGCUUUUGUGGGGUGCUCGAGUGGCGAGCGGGUGAGUAACACGUGAGUAACCUGCCCUUGACUUUGGGAUAACUUCAGGAAACUGGGGCUAAUACCGGAUAGGAGCUCCUGCUGCAUGGUGGGGGUUGGAAAGUUUCGGCGGUUGGGGAUGGACUCGCGGCUUAUCAGCUUGUUGGUUGGGUAGUGGCUUACCAAGGCUUUGACGGGUAGCCGGCCUGAGAGGGUGAACGGCCACAUUGGGACUGAGAUACGGACCAGACUCCUACGGGAGGCAGCAGUGGGGAAUAUUGCACAAUGGGCGGAAGCCGGAGGCAGAAACGCCGCGUGCGGGAUGACGGCCUUCGGGUUGUAAACCGCUUUCGCCUGUGACGAAGCGUGAGUGGCGGUAAUGGGUAAAGAAGCACCGGCUAACUACGUG
rnacentral:rRNA from 1 species